GAUGAACGCUGGCGGCGUGCCUAAUACAUGCAAGUCGAGCGAACAGACGAGGAGCUUGCUCCUCUGACGUUAGCGGCGGACGGGUGAGUGACACGUGGAUAACCUCCCUAUAAGACUGGGAUAACUUCGGGAACCCGGAGCUAAUACCGGAAAAUAUUUUAACCCCCAGGUUCAAAUAGUAAAAGCGGUUUUUCUUUCCCCUUAAAGAUGAUCCCCCCCCACUUUACCUGUUUGUAACGUAAAGGGCUAACAAGGGAAAGGUUGGGAGCCCGCCCGGGGGGGGGGGUCGGCCCACCUGGAACGAGGCACCGUGCCGACUCCUACGGGAGGGAGCAGGAGGGGAUCUUCCGCAAUGGGCGGAAGCCUUACGGGGCAACGCCGCGUGAGUGAUGAAGGUCUUCGGAUCGUAAAACUCUGUUAUUAGGGAAGAACAAAUGUGUAAGUAACUAUGCACGUCUUGACGGUACCUAAUCAGAAAGCCACGGCUAACUACGUG
rnacentral:rRNA from 1 species